UACGUAGGGGGCGAGCGUUGUCCGGAUUUAUUGGGCGUAAAGAGCGUGUAGGCGGCCAGGUAGGUCUGCUGUGAAAACUCGAGGCUCAACCUCGAGACGUCGGCGGAAACCAUCUGGCUAGAGUCCGGAAGAGGAGAGUGGAAUUCCUGGUGUAGCGGUGAAAUGCGCAGAUAUCAGGAAGGACACCCGUGGCGAAGGCGGCUCUCUGGGACGGUACUGACGCUGAGACGCGAAAGCGUGGGGAGCGAACAGG
rnacentral:rRNA from 1 species